CGCCAGAGAGAAACCGGGGCGUCUGCCCUGGCUGACUGAGCCUAGGCCGUGCCUGGGGGCUGAGGGAAACAGGGCCUUGGCCUUCUCUGGCCCAGCCAGGGGUCGCAAGGGGAGCCCCCGUCCCCGCCUGAGGCCACAGGGCCCCCACUCUUCAUCAUCCUCGAGUUAGCUGCGUCCUCUCCAUAAUUAGUUUGUGUUCCAUUGGCUGAGCUCCUCCUCCUCUUCCUCACCAUCAUCCUCCUCCUCCUCCUGCAGCUGCUACCUCUCCCUUGGAGGGGACCAUCCUGGUGCCGUUUUUGUAAAGCAGUGGCUGAGGAGACCCCGGGACUCGCCAUGGACAACAAAAAGCCAGGGGAAGGCGUGGAGACUGAAAACAACGGCCGCAUUAAUUUGAAGGUGGUAGGGGAAGAUGGUUCGGUGGUGCAGUUUAAUAUUAAGAAGUACACAUCACUUGGUAAACUAAUGAAAGCCUAUUGUCAACGACAGGGUUUGUCAAUGGGGCAGAUCAGGUUCCUAUUUGAUGGGCAACCAAUCAAUGAAACAGAUACACCUGAAAAGUUGGAGAUGGAGGAUGAAGAUAUAAUUGAUGUAUUCCAGCAGCAGGCAGGAGGCCCUUACUAGAAAGAGAACAUGUAACUCUGCUCCAGAACUGUGCUCGCAAGGAAAACAAUACAUUCAUAAUUAGAAAACCAAGAUUUGGUUCAUCCACAUUCUGACUACUGCAGUAUAGUUUUCUCUCUUCUUUGAUGCCCUUCCCCCAUUCCUUUAUCGUACAUAAAGUAACUGGUGUAUGUGCACAGGCAUAAUGCGUGUUUUUUUUUUUUUUUUUAACUAAAUGGCUGAUGGUAUGUUAUGAUCAACAUCAAAUGGAGAUGGGGAGGGGAAAAAACAAACUGCUUCUGUGAAAAUAUCUGUUUUCUCCAUUAGUGGCAUGCUCAUUCAACUUUUAUCUUUAUAUUCCAGUAAGUUAUUUUGCUCUCACUGUUUAACAACAACAAAAAC